rnacentral:lncRNA from 1 species
UCCCUGUGCCCUCAGUUAGAGUCACCUAGAAUUGGAGAGUGCCCGGAACGAGCCUCCAAAAGUGAAGCCAAACGACCGUAACGCCGCUUGGGGCGCUGCGAUCGGUAGCACACAGCCCGC